GUUCAUGACAAUAUGUUACUGAAAUCAAGGAAUGAAGAAACUGCUACUUUGUUAUUGUUUUAAAGUGAUUAAAAAUCUAAAUCAACCAAUAAUUGUGUCACCGUUAGUACGGUGUUUGGCUCUUGUCCAAUACGUUAACGCUUCUCGCAGUCCAACUGUCGAAGGCUACUUUUGGCGGAUAAGAUAGAUUUCUAAUUGUUAAUAGCUUUAAAUUGAUACUGAAAUCGCAUUUUUGUUAGUGAUUUCUGUCUUAUAUUUAUCUAAAGAUUCAUAUUUUAACGUUUUAUCCGAGUACUAUCAAACAAUCAAAUACCCUGCGUCUACAAUGAUACCUCAACUCCUACACGGUUUUUUUUCCUCCCCAAGGAAGAGCUUGUAUCUGCGCAUGAAAUUCGCAGUGGAUUCUUUCUUAGCAUUGAGUCGUUAGCCAAUCAGAGCAAUGCAAUUUAUACUCCUAUUAUCGCUAACGAAGCGCGCUUCGACCGGAGAAGCUUGCAGAAACUUAGCUAUCACUAUACAAUAUGCUCAUAUACCAUAGACCAAAGAAUAUAUGGGUGGGGGCAUAUAUGGAUUACGGCAAGGGAUCCGCCGUAAGGUGAGGCUACGUGCACUUUGGCUGUAUUCCGUUUGACUCGGUAUCACUCGGAUCCAUUUGAGAUCGUUUGAUUCCCACCAUGGAGUUAUUAAGUCCAUGCUACCACCCGAAUAUAACCAAGAACCACGGACCAUAAGGAGAGUGCCUAGUUACGGUAAAGUGAUGCCAAAAAGCUGUAGUUCCUAAUUAAGAAACAGUCAGCAGCACUACACUGUCACACAAAGAUGAAGAACUCUUAUUCUCCUUACGUUUUUGAUACUACGUACCCCACUCCGUCGCCGAUAAGCCAAGUAUACGCUCUGAGCGCACUACAAAUGCACAGUCGAGCCCGUGCUGACAACAUAGGAAAAUAGAUGAGUUCAUAUAGUCUACCCUUACCGUGAAUCUCAACCCCUCGCAUUAACAGGUUCCGACCAUAUAUUUUUAAGUCAUUAUUCUUUAUGGAAGAAGAAAGCGAAAAUCUAGAUAUGAAUUUAAUAUAUUAUAUAAGUUUUUAAUGAUAUGUUAGAUGAUAACAAAUCUUAAUAAAGAAUUCUCAUAAUAAAUGAUGUACAUUAUUUAUUAUUUUGUAUAUGAGAUGUAAUGGUUAUUAUUAUAUCACAUUUUUAUAUUAAUGUAGAUAUAGAAAUACAGCAGAACAUAGUGCAGUUGAUUAUUUUAUAUUAAAAUCUUAUGGAAUAAAAUGGAAGUAUCAGAAGAUAAUAAGGAUAUUUGUGACGCUGUAAGAACAUGGUUCCAAUGGUUCAUGAUCAAUUAGAAACAAUCAAAUCCAGGAAGAUCUAAAAAUUGUGUUUGGAGGAAGCUACACUGAUCCAUGACAAAAAUCUUUGUAUUAGACAAAGACGAGACUCAUAUAAACAAUCAAUAUGAACGAUGAAGUAGGAAAUUAAAAUGCGGCACUGGUGGAUUUGCAAACUGUCAGCAAAAGUGAAAACUUGGAACAUCCACUUUGGAACUAGCAUCUGACAUCCUAUUCGCAAGUACCAAUGUAUUGGCAAAUGAUUACCACCCCUACCACAGUUCCAAUUUACCUCACUUGAACACAGAGUAGCAAUGAAAAAGGAUGGUUUUAUCUGAGUAAGAUAGAAAAAGCUGAUAUAAACAGCAUAGUUCUAUAUUUGCCAAAUCCCUUAGCUAAACAAUUUUGACACUUCCCCGUAAUAAAUGCAAAGUUUUGUGUACAUAUAAAA